rnacentral:rRNA from 1 species
GAACGAAGCGGUCCACUGAAACGGAAAUAAGUCAGAGUGCUUGCACAAAGAUGGAAAGAAGCGGACGUGGGUUCACCGCUUAGUGGCAAACGGGUGAGUAACACGUGGGUUACCUACCUCUAAGACGGGGACAACAGUUGGAAACGAUUGCUAAUACCGGAUAAGUUCUACGGAAUAAAGGAAGCCUUUAAAGCUUCGCUUAGAGAUGGGCCUGCGGUGCAUUAGAUAGUUGGUGAGGUAAUGGCCCACCAAGUCAACGAUGCAUAGCCGAACUGAGAGGUUAAACGGCCACACUGGGACUGAGACACGGCCCAGACUCCUACGGGAGACAGCAGUUAGGAAUAUUCGUCAAUGGGGGAAACCCUGAACGAGCAAUGCCGCGUGGAGGAAGAAGGUCCUAUGGAUUGUAAACUUCUGUGGUAUGGGAAGAACGGUAUAUGGAGGAAAUGACAUAUAAGUGACGGUACCAUAUAAGAAAGCCACGGCUAACUACGUGCCAGCAGCCGCGGUAA